UACCUUUGUCGUCGCAUUGGUUCGCUUGUCCGGGUUCCCGGCAGGUGAUGAAAAGGGAAUCAGGUGUAAGUCCUGAACAGACCCGCUACUGUAAGUCCUAUGCAACGUUUUGGCGCUACUUUAGCCACUGUUUUCAGUCGACAGUACACAGUCGACAGUACACAGAUUAAUUUCUGAAUACUGAAUACUGAGUACUGAAUACUAAUUGACGGGAAGGCUGUCCGAAACGGGGAUAAGUCAGGAGACCUGCCAUGCAGUUCACAGUUUA
rnacentral:ncRNA from 2 species